CCUACGGGUGGCUGCAGUGGGGGAUAUUGCACAAUGGGCGCAAGCCUGAUGCAGCCAUGCCGCGUGUGUGAAGAAGGCCUUCGGGUUGUAAAGCACUUUCAGCGGGGAGGAAGGCGGUGAGGUUAAUAACCUCAUCGAUUGACGUUACCCGCAGAAGAAGCACCGGCUAACUCCGUGCCAGCAGCCGCGGUAAUACGGAGGGUGCAAGCGUUAAUCGGAAUUACUGGGCGUAAAGCGCACGCAGGCGGUCUGUCAAGUCGGAUGUGAAAUCCCCGGGCUCAACCUGGGAACGGCAUUCGAAACUGGCAGGCUAGAGUCUUGUAGAGGGGGGUAGAAUUCCAGGUGUAGCGGUGAAAUGCGUAGAGAUCUGGAGGAAUACCGGUAGCGAAGGCGGCCCCCUGGACAAAGACUGACGCUCAGGUGCGAAAGCGUGGGGAGCAAACAGGAUUAGAUACCCUAGUAGUC
rnacentral:rRNA from 1 species